AGAGUUUGAUCCUGGCUCAGAACGAACGCUGGCGGCAGGCCUAACACAUGCAAGUCGAGCGAGGGGGCGACCCCUAGCGGCGGACGGGUGAGUAACGCGUGGGAACGUGCCCCCCGGUUCGGAAUAGCCCCGGGAAACUGGGAGUAAUACCGGAUACGCUCUGCGGAGGAAAGAACUUCGCCGGGGGAUCGGCCCGCGUUGGAUUAGGUAGUUGGUGGGGUAACGGCCUACCAAGCCGACGAUCCAUAGCUGGUUGGUGAGAGGAUGAUCAGCCACACUGGGACUGAGACACGGCCCAGACUCCUACGGGAGGCAGCAGUGGGGAAUCUUAGACAAUGGGCGCAAGCCUGAUCUAGCCAUGCCGCGUGAGCGAUGAAGGCCUUAGGGUUGUAAAGCUCUUUCGGGGGGGGAGAUAAUGACGGUACCCCCAGAAGAGCCCCGAUC
rnacentral:rRNA from 1 species